UUUCCCUCAGGAUAGCUGGCACUCGUGCGAGCGAGUCUCAUCUGGUAAAGCGAAUGAUUAGAGGCAUUGGGGCCGAAACGACCUCAACCUAUUCUCAAACUUUAAAUGGGUGAGAUCUCUGGCUUGCUUGAAUAGUGAAGCCACGAGAUUUCGGAUCAGAGUGCCAAGUGGGCCAAUUUUGGUAAGCAGAACUGGCGCUGUGGGA
rnacentral:rRNA from 1 species